rnacentral:rRNA from 1 species
AGAGUUUGAUCCUGGCUCAGGACGAACGCUGGCGGCGCGCCUAACACAUGCAAGUCGAACGGAGCUUAGAGAGCUUGCUUUUUAAGCUUAGUGGCGAACGGGUGAGUAACGCGUGAGUAACCUGCCCUAGAGUGGGGGACAACAGUUGGAAACGACUGCUAAUACCGCAUAAGCCCACGGUACCGCAUGGUACUGAGGGAAAAGGAUUUAUUCGCUUUAGGAUGGACUCGCGUCCAAUUAGCUAGUUGGUGAGGUAACGGCCCACCAAGGCGACGAUUGGUAGCCGGACUGAGAGGUUGAACGGCCACAUUGGGACUGAGACACGGCCCAGACUCCUACGGGAGGCAGCAGUGGGGGAUAUUGCACAAUGGGGGAAACCCUGAUGCAGCGACGCCGCGUGGAGGAAGAAGGUCUUCGGAUUGUAAACUCCUGUUGUUGAGGAAGAUAAUGACGGUACUCAACAAGGAAGUGACGGCUAACUACGUGCCAGCAGCCGCGGUAAAACGUAGGUCACAAGCGUUGUCCGGAAUUACUGGGUGUAAAGGGAGCGCAGGCGGGAAGACAAGUUGGAAGUGAAAUCUAUGGGCUCAACCCAUAAACUGCUUUCAAAACUGUUUUUCUUGAGUAGUGCAGAGGUAGGCGGAAUUCCCGGUGUAGCGGUGGAAUGCGUAGAUAUCGGGAGGAACACCAGUGGCGAAGGCGGUCUACUGGGCACCAACUGACGCUGAGGCUCGAAAGCAUGGGUAGCAAACAGGAUUAGAUACCCUGGUAGUCCAUGCCGUAAACGAUGAUUACUAGGUGUUGGAGGAUUGACCCCUUCAGUGCCGCAGUUAACACAAUAAGUAAUCCACCUGGGGAGUACGACCGCAAGGUUGAAACUCAAAGGAAUUGACGGGGGCCCGCACAAGCAGUGGAGUAU